rnacentral:rRNA from 1 species
GGCUACGAGGACGAACGCGUGGCGGCGUGCCUAACACAUGCAAGUCGAACGGAGAUAUGAUUUCGGUUGUAUCUUAGUGGCGAAACGGGUGAGUAACGCGUGAACAACCUGACUCUAAGAGGGGGAUAACACUCGGAAACGGGUGCUAAUACCGCAUAAGACCACGACCUGGCAUCAGGAUGAGGUCAAAGGAGCAAUCCGCUGAGAGAGGGGUUCGCGUCCCAUUAGAUAGAUGGCGGGUAACGGCCCACCAUGUCAACGAUGGGUAGCCGAGCUGAGAGGCUGAUCGGCCACACUGGAACUGAGACACGGUCCAGACUCCUACGGGAGGCAGCAGUGGGGAAUAUUGGCAAUGGGCGCAAGCCUGACCCAGCAACGCCGCGUGAGGGAAGAAGGCUUUCGGGUUGUAAACCUCUGUCCUUGGUGACGAAACAAAUGACGGUAGCCAAGGAGGAAGCCCCGGCUAACUACGUG